GGCAGUGUGGCUGAGUAGUGUAAGGUGCUGGAUUGAGGCUCCAGUCUCUUUGGAGGCAUGGGUUCGAAUCCCACCACUGCCA